rnacentral:rRNA from 1 species
GGUUAAGCGACUAAGCGUACACGGUGGAUGCCCUGGCAGUCAGAGGCGAUGAAGGACGUGCUAAUCUGCGAUAAGCGUCGGUGAGGUGAUAUGAACCGUUAUAACCGGCGAUUUCCGAAUGGGGAAACCCAGUGUGUUUCGACACACUAUCAUUAACUGAAUCCAUAGGUUAAUGAGGCGAACCGGGGGAACUGAAACAUCUAAGUACCCCGAGGAAAAGAAAUCAACCGAGAUUCCCCCAGUAGCGGCGAGCGAACGGGGAGGAGCCCAGAGCCUGAAUCAGUGUGUGUGUUAGUGGAAGCGUCUGGAAAGGCGCGCGAUACAGGGUGACAGCCCCGUACACAAAAAUGCACAUGCUGUGAGCUCGAUGAGUAGGGCGGGACACGUGGUAUCCUGUCUGAAUAUGGGGGGACCAUCCUCCAAGGCUAAAUACUCCUGACUGACCGAUAGUGAACCAGUACCGUGAGGGAAAGGCGAAAAGAACCCCGGCGAGGGGAGUGAAAAAGAACCUGAAACCGUGUACGUACAAGCAGUGGGAGCCUCUUAAUGGGGUGACUGCGUACCUUUUGUAUAAUGGGUCAGCGACUUAUAUUCUGUAGCAAGGUUAACCGAAUAGGGGAGCCGAAGGGAAACCGAGUCUUAACUGGGCGUUAAGUUGCAGGGUAUAGACCCGAAACCCGGUGAUCUAGCCAUGGGCAGGUUGAAGGUUGGGUAACACUAACUGGAGGACCGAACCGACUAAUGUUGAAAAAUUAGCGGAUGACUUGUGGCUGGGGGUGAAAGGCCAAUCAAACCGGGAGAUAGCUGGUUCUCCCCGAAAGCUAUUUAGGUAGCGCCUCGUGAAUUCAUCUCCGGGGGUAGAGCACUGUUUCGGCAAGGGGGUCAUCCCGACUUACCAACCCGAUGCAAACUGCGAAUACCGGAGAAUGUUAUCACGGGAGACACACGGCGGGUGCUAACGUCCGUCGUGAAGAGGGAAACAACCCAGACCGCCAGCUAAGGUCCCAAAGUCAUGGUUAAGUGGGAAACGAUGUGGGAAGGCCCAGACAGCCAGGAUGUUGGCUUAGAAGCAGCCAUCAUUUAAAGAAAGCGUAAUAGCUCACUGGUCGAGUCGGCCUGCGCGGAAGAUGUAACGGGGCUAAACCAUGCACCGAAGCUGCGGCAGCGACGCUUAUGCGUUGUUGGGUAGGGGAGCGUUCUGUAAGCCUGUGAAGGUGGCCUGUGAGGGUUGCUGGAGGUAUCAGAAGUGCGAAUGCUGACAUAAGUAACGAUAAAGCGGGUGAAAAGCCCGCUCGCCGGAAGACCAAGGGUUCCUGUCCAACGUUAAUCGGGGCAGGGUGAGUCGACCCCUAAGGCGAGGCCGAAAGGCGUAGUCGAUGGGAAACAGGUUAAUAUUCCUGUACUUGGUGUUACUGCGAAGGGGGGACGGAGAAGGCUAUGUUGGCCGGGCGACGGUUGUCCCGGUUUAAGCGUGUAGGCUGGUUUUCCAGGCAAAUCCGGAAAAUCAAGGCUGAGGCGUGAUGACGAGGCACUACGGUGCUGAAGCGACAAAUGCCCUGCUUCCAGGAAAAGCCUCUAAGCAUCAGGUAACAUCAAAUCGUACCCCAAACCGACACAGGUGGUCAGGUAGAGAAUACCAAGGCGCUUGAGAGAACUCGGGUGAAGGAACUAGGCAAAAUGGUGCCGUAACUUCGGGAGAAGGCACGCUGAUAUGUAGGUGAAGCGACUUGCUCGUGGAGCUGAAAUCAGUCGAAGAUACCAGCUGGCUGCAACUGUUUAUUAAAAACACAGCACUGUGCAAACACGAAAGUGGACGUAUACGGUGUGACGCCUGCCCGGUGCCGGAAGGUUAAUUGAUGGGGUUAGCGGUAACGCGAAGCUCUUGAUCGAAGCCCCGGUAAACGGCGGCCGUAACUAUAACGGUCCUAAGGUAGCGAAAUUCCUUGUCGGGUAAGUUCCGACCUGCACGAAUGGCGUAAUGAUGGCCAGGCUGUCUCCACCCGAGACUCAGUGAAAUUGAACUCGCUGUGAAGAUGCAGUGUACCCGCGGCAAGACGGAAAGACCCCGUGAACCUUUACUAUAGCUUGACACUGAACAUUGAGCCUUGAUGUGUAGGAUAGGUGGGAGGCUUUGAAGUGUGGACGCCAGUCUGCAUGGAGCCGACCUUGAAAUACCACCCUUUAAUGUUUGAUGUUCUAACGUUGGCCCGUAAUCCGGGUUGCGGACAGUGUCUGGUGGGUAGUUUGACUGGGGCGGUCUCCUCCUAAAGAGUAACGGAGGAGCACGAAGGUUGGCUAAUCCUGGUCGGACAUCAGGAGGUUAGUGCAAUGGCAUAAGCCAGCUUGACUGCGAGCGUGACGGCGCGAGCAGGUGCGAAAGCAGGUCAUAGUGAUCCGGUGGUUCUGAAUGGAAGGGCCAUCGCUCAACGGAUAAAAGGUACUCCGGGGAUAACAGGCUGAUACCGCCCAAGAGUUCAUAUCGACGGCGGUGUUUGGCACCUCGAUGUCGGCUCAUCACAUCCUGGGGCUGAAGUAGGUCCCAAGGGUAUGGCUGUUCGCCAUUUAAAGUGGUACGCGAGCUGGGUUUAGAACGUCGUGAGACAGUUCGGUCCCUAUCUGCCGUGGGCGCUGGAGAACUGAGGGGGGCUGCUCCUAGUACGAGAGGACCGGAGUGGACGCAUCACUGGUGUUCGGGUUGUCAUGCCAAUGGCACUGCCCGGUAGCUAAAUGCGGAAGAGAUAAGUGCUGAAAGCAUCUAAGCACGAAACUUGCCCCGAGAUGAGUUCUCCCUGAGACUUAGAGUCUCCUGAAGGAACGUUGAAGACGACGACGUUGAUAGGCCGGGUGUGUAAGCGCAGCGAUGCGUUGAGCUAACCGGUACUAAUGAACCGUGAGGCUUAACCUU